UAGGGAAUCUUCCGCAAUGGACGAAAGUCUGACGGAGCAACGCCGCGUGAGUGAUGAAGGUUUUCGGAUCGUAAAACUCUGUUGUUAGGGAAGAACAAGUACGAGAGUAACUGCUCGUACCUUGACGGUACCUAACCAGAAAGCCACGGCUAACUACGUGCCAGCAGCCGCGGUAAUACGUAGGUGGCAAGCGUUGUCCGGAAUUAUUGGGCGUAAAGCGCGCGCAGGCGGUCCUUUAAGUCUGAUGUGAAAGCCCACGGCUCAACCGUGGAGGGUCAUUGGAAACUGGGGGACUUGAGUGCAGGAGAGAAGAGUGGAAUUCCACGUGUAGCGGUGAAAUGCGUAGAGAUGUGGAGGAACACCAGUGGCGAAGGCGACUCUUUGGCCUGUAACUGACGCUGAGGCGCGAAAGCGUGGGGAGCAAACAG
rnacentral:rRNA from 1 species